AUUGAACGCUGGCGGCAGGCCUAACACAUGAAAGUCGAGCGAGCGGCGGACGGGUGAGUAAUGUCUGGGAAACUGCCUGAUGGAGGGGGAUAACUACUGGAAACGGUAGCUAAUAACGCAUACCAUCGGAUGUGCCCAGAUGGGGUUAGCUAGUAGGUGGGGUAACGGCUAACCUAGGCGACGAUCCCUAGCUGGUCUGAGCGGAUGACCAGCCACACUGGAACUGAGACACGGUCCAGACCCCUACGGGAGGCAGCAGUGGGGAAUCUUGCACAAUGGGCGCAAGCCUGAUGCAGCCAUGCCGCGUGUAUGAAGAAGGCCUUCGGGUUGUAAAGUACUUUCAGCGGGGAGGCGUUACCCGCAGAAGAAGCACCGGCUAACUCCGUGCCAGCCGCCGCGGUAAUUC
rnacentral:rRNA from 1 species